rnacentral:tRNA from 1 species
ACUAUUUUGGCAGAUAAAUGUAUUAAAUUUAGAAUUUAACAAUGUAUAAAUUAGUUACAAAUAGUA